rnacentral:lncRNA from 1 species
GCCGGAACCAGCAGUGGCAACCACUCGGGUCCCCUUCCACAUUGUGGAAGCUUUGUUCUUUCACUUUUUGCAAUAAAUCUUGCUACUGCUCACUCUUUGGGUCCACACUGCCUUUAUGAGCUGUAACACUCGCUGCGAAGGUUUGCAGCUUCACUCCUGAAGCCACCGAGACCAGGAACCCACCUGGAGGAAUGAACAACUCCACGCGCCCCACCUUAAGAGCUGUAACACUCACCACGAAGGUCUGCAGGUUCACUCCUGAGCCAGCGAGACCACGAACCCACCAGAAGGAAGAAACUCUGAACACAUGCGAACAUCAGAAGGAACAAACUCCGGACACGCUGCUUUUAAGAACUGUAACACUCACGGCAGGGGUCCGCGGCUUUAUUCUUGAAGUCAGUGAAACCAAGAAACCACCGAUUCCGGACACAAUGUGAGAACUUCACUGAAGCAGAAUUACCAAAGAAACCAGCUUCUUCAUUACAGGCUAUCAGUGUAAUUCACAGCCCACAAGAAAGAAACACACCUUCUUAAGCUGACUUCUGUAUAAGGCUCGUGCUUCAGUGGUCCUCGGGAUGACAAUCAUGACUUUGUCAGACAGACACAACCCAGACUCGUGACUUAUGCCUCAACAAGACCUUGGGCUUCCACCCAGAGAAGGACUCAGUGCACAAGGAUCAUUUUUCUUACCCUUAUCAUAGCAUCCACAACCAAUUGGCAGUACCCAUUCCCUAACCCCUGCCCACUAAACCACCCUUAAAAACCCCUAACUUCCAAGGCUUUAGAGAGAAUUAUUUGAGUAAUAGCUUCAUCUCCCAUGUGGCUGGCCUCAUGUCAAUUAAACUCUUUUUUUACUUUAAUACCAC